CAGUCGCCGCGGUAAUACGGAGGGUGCAAGCGUUAAUCGGAAUUACUGGGCGUAAAGCGCACGCAGGCGGUCUGACAAGUCAGAUGUGAAAUCCCCGGGCUUAACCUGGGAACUGCAUUUGAAACUGUCAGGCUGGAGUCUUGUAGAGGGGGGUGGAAUUCCAGGUGUAGCGGUGAAAUGCGUAGAGAUCUGGAGGAAUACCGGUGGCGAAGGCGGCCCCCUGGACAAAGACUGACGCUCAGGUGCGAAAGCGUGGGGUGCAAACAGGAUUAGAUACCCCAGUAGUCCCUGUCUCUUAUAA
rnacentral:rRNA from 1 species